CUUUAUGUUUUUUCUAAGAAAAAAAAUGUUGUAUCAUUCGCUCCUUUCAAAGUUAUUUUUGAGCUAUACUGCUUGAUCCGUUCAGAGCUCCGUUGCCGCUCCACCUCUCACCACUCCGGUCCUACCGUUGCAAAUCCUUCCUCAUUUUCCAUGAUUUCUCUGGCCACAAAUUCAGCUCCGAUGACAAUUAUUACAAGUCUUGGUAAUAAGGUGUAAAGAUGGAUCCGGAAAAUUCACCAAGGCGCAGUUGAAUGAUGAUAUGUGCGAUUGUGUUGAUGGCACCAAUGAACCUGGUUUUUAUUUUAAUUAUGCAAUGUUUAAUUAUUAAUAGUAUUUGAUUUAUUUUAUUUUUUUCAUAUUGGAUCAUUUGUUGUUUCAAUAAUUCUUUGUUUCAUUUUUUUUUGGGCAAGUACAAUGGCAUGUCCGGGUGAAAAAUUUUAUUGUCGAAAUGCAGGACAUUCUCAUGUU